rnacentral:rRNA from 1 species
AGAGUUUGAUCCUGGCUCAGGACGAACGCUGGCGGCGUGCCUAACACAUGCAAGUCGAACGGGGUUAUCGGGCAGCUUGCUGCCCGAGACACCUAGUGGCGCACGGGUGAGUAACACGUGGGCAACCUACCCAGAAGACCGGGACAACACUUCGAAAGGGGUGCUAAUACCGGAUACGCUCGCUGAGUCGCAUGAUUUGGCGGGGAAAGAAUUUUCGCUUUUGGAUGGGCCCGCGUCCCAUUAGCUAGUUGGUGAGGUAAUGGCUCACCAAGGCAACGAUGGGUAGCUGGUCUGAGAGGACGAUCAGCCACACUGGAACUGAGACACGGUCCAGACUCCUACGGGAGGCAGCAGUGGGGAAUCUUGCGCAAUGGGCGGAAGCCUGACGCAGCAACGCCGCGUGAACGAAGAAGGCCUUCGGGUUGUAAAGUUCUGUCAGGGGGGACGAAGAGUUGACGGUACCCCCAGAGGAAGCCCCGGCUAACUACGUGCCAGCAGCCGCGGUAACACGUAGGGGGCGAGCGUUGUCCGGAAUUACUGGGCGUAAAGGGCGUGUAGGCGGCCGAUCAAGUCAGGUGUGAAAAAUCAGGGCUUAACCCUGAUCGUGCACUUGAAACUGGUUGGCUUGAGUGCAGGAGAGGAAAGUGGAAUUCCCAGUGUAGCGGUGAAAUGCGUAGAUAUUGGGAGGAACACCAGUGGCGAAGGCGACUUUCUGGACUGCACUGACGCUGAGGCGCGAAAGCUAGGGGAGCAAACAGGAU